GACGAACGCUGGCGGCGUGCCUAACACAUGCAAGUCGAACGGAAAGGCUCCAUCUUGCUGGACUCCUCGACUGGCGAACGGGUGAGCAACACUUGGGUAAUCUGCCCUUCACUCUGGGAUAAGCCUGGGAAACUGGGUCUAUUCCUGGAUAUGACCUUUCUCCUUUUGGGGUUUGGUGGUAAGUUUUUCGGUGUCGGAUGAGCCCGCGGUUUAUCAGCUUGUUGGUGGGGUGAUGGACUGCCAAGGCUAAGACCGGUAGCCGGCCUGAGAGGGUGAACGGCCAAAUAGGGAGUGAGAGACAGCCGAGACUCCUACGGGAGGCAGGAGUGGGGAAUAAUGAAAGAUGGGCGGAAGACUGAUGCAGCGACGCCGCGUGAGGGAUGACGGACAUCGGGAUGUAAACCUCUAUCAGCAAGGACGAAGGGUAAGGGAAGGUACGGGCAGAAGAAGCACCGGCUAACUACGUG
rnacentral:rRNA from 1 species